rnacentral:rRNA from 1 species
AACGAACGCUGGCGGCAGGCCUAACACAUGCAAGUCGAGCGCUCUCUUCGGAGGGAGCGGCGGACGGGUGAGUAACACGUGGGAACGUGCCCUUAGGUACGGAACAACAGCUGGAAACGGCUGCUAAUACCGUAUGAAGUCUCCGGACCAAAGAUUUAUCGCCUAAGGAUCGGCCCGCGUUGGAUUAGAUAGUUGGUGGGGUAAUGGCCUACCAAGUCUACGAUCCAUAGCUGGUUUGAGAGGAUGAUCAGCCACACUGGGACUGAGACACGGCCCAGACUCCUACGGGAGGCAGCAGUGGGGAAUCUUAGACAAUGGGGGAAACCCUGAUCUAGCCAUGCCGCGUGAGCGAUGACGGCCUUAGGGUUGUAAAGCUCUUUCAUCAGGGACGAUAAUGACGGUACCUGAAGAAGAAGCCCCGGCUAACUUCG